ensembl:lncRNA
GUUCCUCGUUAUGCCUGCUGGACCACGACCGACAGAGCUCGUCUGUGAGACCGGCCUUGGCACACAAGCAGAGCCUCUGUGGUUCCUAUUUUAGCCGAAAUCAACACGUGACCCAGCGUAAUUAUACAGUUAUUCACCAAAUCGUCCUUUUAAUCAUCACAAUUUUGGGGUAUUUUAUAAUUGUAUAGAAGGAAAAUAUACAUGAUGACAAAGUAAAAACAUACUUACAAAUAUAGUUUAAACUGCUCAGCAUAUAACUGUCUUUACUGACUUGUAGCCUUACUUAUUGAUAGGUCAAGUGUAAUGUUUUUAAGAAACAUGAGACCAUUUUGCUUUGUGUUUUUAAUAGAUACUUAUAAAAUCAAUGAAAGAUAAUUAAGCGCCUACAGAUGUCAGUGAGGGAAACGGCUUAAUAGAACUUCCCAGCUAAUAAUUAUUGUUUUAUUGAGUUAUGAAAUAGUGUCUCUAGAGAUGUCUCCCUUGAAAUGUCCCCCAGGAGACCUUUAACACUUUCAAAUGUUCCAAGAAGUCCUGCGUCACUUAGGAAAUCACAUGUAUUUUCCCAUUUACCUCUUGCUUAGCAUGUGGGUGGUGUCGUUGUUGUCAUGUGACAUAAAACCCAGAGACAGAUUUCCACAGUGACGCAUGAAAGACCGCAAAAUAUUAUAUUUUAUACCAUGUUUUGUCCGCAGGAUACAGAGAAGGAUGGAACUCAUCUCAGACGAGGCGGGAGGAAAUGACCACAUGUGGACCUUGUUACCAUUGCUUGAUGCACACUCCAGGUCAGAGAACAAAGGUUGGUGUGAGGUGGUGCAUGUGUGUGUCAGGGGACGCUGUUUCACAACCAACACUGCUCUUCUGAAGUAUUAUUUCUGGGACUAACUAACUGUAAUUGUUUCUACCCAUUUGCACCGGCCGAUAUUUUGAAGAAGGGGACCGAGUCGUUUGAAUGGAAAUCACUGACUGAAUUGUGAUGCUGUAUCUCAACAUUCUCACCACUUCAGCAAACAAAAAAAGAAAAGGUAAACGUUUCAAGGUUUAUAAAGAAGAAGAGUUGGGGCAUGGACAUAUAAAAUGGAUGAGAGCUGUCAUUCGACACACAAUCACUGAGGUACGGCGCAUACUUGUUCUCUCGCUGUUGCUGUUGCUGUAUCACGGCGGAGAGACGAAAAGUUAAUACGAGACAUCAUCUCCCUCUUUCCGCCUGAGUCAUGUCUGAGGAGCCAGGAGGGGACAGAGGAGCCGUUGUAGCACUCACAGUUCCCACAUCUGAAAAACUUGUCUCAUCGGUACAAAAAAUAGUUUUCUCUCCUCAGUUGAGCGCAUGCACUGCUGAACAAUAACAGAAUACGUUUCAAUAACAGAAUACGUUUCCUGGGUUAACUGUUGUUAAGCGUAUUUGGGGGACAGCAGCACUCAUCUCAAACGUCACUUUGACCGGCUGAGAGAAACCAAUUUGUUUUGGAUUUUUCUGCUCGCUCUGCAACUUUAGCCUCUACAUCACCAGACACACCCAGGGAGAGAACAUAAUUAAUGUUGGUUAGCAGAUUCAACUGACUAAUUGGAAUAGUCGGGGGAAAUAAGUUGUUAACAAUGCGGAACUUGACCUAAUAUCUUGCACCGAGCACACCAGCUCUAAAGAUGUAACACGACGUGUAAAUCUCCAAAGAACUGAUUCAUCUGUGGUCCAACAGCAACAACAUCCAAC